ACUCAAAGGAAUUGACGGGGGCCCGCACAAGCGGUGGAGCAUGUGGUUUAAUUCGACGCAACGCGCAGAACCUUACCAGCUCUUGACAUGACGGUUAAAGCCAGGGGAGACCCUGGGGUUCCUUCGGGAGGCCGCCACAGGUGCUGCAUGGCUGUCGUCAGCUCGUGUCGUGAGAUGUUGGGUUAAGUCCCGCAACGAGCGCAACCCUUGCCUCUAGUUGCCAUCAGGUUGGGCUGGGCACUCUAGAGGGACCGCCGGUGACAAGCCGGAGGAAGGUGGGGAUGACGUCAAGUCCUCAUGGCCCUUAUGAGCUGGGCUACACACGUGCUACAAUGGCGGUGACAGUGGGCAGCGAAAGCGCGAGCUGGAGCUAAUCCCCAAAAGCCGUCUCAGUUCGGAUCGCAGGCUGCAACUCGCCUGCGUGAAGGUGGAAUCGCUAGUAAUCGCGGAUCAGCACGCCGCGGUGAAUACGUUCCCGGGCCUUGUACACACCGCCCGU
rnacentral:rRNA from 1 species